ACAUGAGUGUCAGUAAAUGGUGACAGAAUCUCCAGCAUCUUUGGGUUGUAACGGUCAGGAUCUCAGACGUCAGAGUUUGAACACAGAUAUUACAGCUGGUUAUAUUUGACGAAAGCCAGGAAAUAACUACUUUAAUGUCAGGGUCGCUGUCAGCAGGGAUCGUCCGGACUUCAUGGAUUUCGUGCCGUUUCCAAAAACAGCGAAUAAAAACUCAUCAUGCUCAGCCAAGUGUGAAAAACGGACAUUUCCUCGACAGAGAGAGACUUCUGCUUCCUCAACUCCCGACAACAUCCAGAGACAUUGUACUGAAGGAAUUUUCACCAUAACUCUCAUCUCAUGGCAGAAGUGAUUGAAUGAGUUUGCUGUGAAGGAACAUGAGUGCAUAAAUCAUCUGUGAAGCUGAAAUGAUCUGGUGAAAACCCUUCCCGGAGGAGCAGAUGUCUGGAACACCCGGUGAGGAUAUGGGUGUUCACGCUGAAGAACAAUCACCCCGAACAUGAUGACAUGCAGUAAUCCUGCUGACGUCACUCAUCAUACAUUCACUGCUGUACUACAGGAGGAAGAAUAAACACUGAAUUAAGAAAACCACCUGUUCCUGUUUUACAUCAAUGCUCACUUUAAGAAGUUUCUCCAUUUUCCAUUAGUAACUCGUGACGCUUGUGGAAUUCUUCUAGCAAUGGGUUUGAGUCAUUUGGACCGUGUGCGCUGUUUUUACACACUUUAUUUAGUCCUGAAAACGAUAAAUGAUGAAUGAAAGAUAAAAUAACAACUAAAUGCUGGGCGAGUUUUGUGUUUCAUCGUCAUGUGGUGGCACUUUAUAAAACCAUGCCAAUGUGCGUGACAACCGACAAUGUUUAACAUUGUGUUUGUUUUAAGUGUACUGUGCCACAUUUUGUUACCGAGGUGUUGCGUCUUAUGAGGUUUGGUGGUACGGAGUUCAGUAGGUUCUGGGAAAGGGUGCACGGGCCUCCAGACUCCCGCAUCUCUGACAUGAUCGGAAUGUUGAAUGUGUCCCGUGGAAAUUAAAGUUCAAACUGACACUGGGAAAAGUAAUAUGGGAAUUUAGGUUUUUAGAAAGUGCUCAGACUGCAUGUUUUCAUCCAACAUGUGACGCUCUUAUUAUCCUCCAGUCUUUGUAAUCUUUGGGUUCACGGUCAACAUAAAUAUAUAAUUGUGAUAUAUAAUGUUUACAUCUCCUGCCAGUGGAAGCCACCCGAGGCUGGAUGUGAUUGUGUAAUGGUUAAGACAUUUACAUUCAGUCAUUUAGCAGAUGCUUUUACCCAAAGUGAAUUAUAAAUGAGGGAAGCAAUUGGAAGAACACAAGGACAACAAAAAGCAUAAGCGCUGUAAACUGUCUCCUAUAUAG